CUGCGGGGCAGCGGAGCCGGGCUGAGAGCCCAACGGUCUGUCUCCAGGGUCUGUGCUCGGAACCGUCGCUGGGCUACACUGACUCUGACCCGGCCUCCCCCCCUAACGUGGGCCUCCCAAUGCCCGGCUCCCCCACCCCGCCGCAGGCCCCAGCUGCCCGAGGUCUGUUACCUGCACCCCGGAGACCAGGACCCUCGUUUCUGGGGCCGGGUCGGCUGGUCCCCCAAUGGGCUGCCGGGGGGUCACCGGGCCCGAGCACGGCCAGGUCAUUGGAGAGCCGCUCCCGCCUAGAGCCGCUGCAAGGGAGUCUGGGAGGUCUGGUUCGGGUCUGGGGCCUGCACCCCACGGAGGCGGAGCCCUGUCCUUGGUUCCACAAAGGACAAAGGAUCUCUGCUCCCCACAGGCCCUGGUCCCGCCUGGCAUCCCGCCGCCCCGGUCCCGCCCGGUGUGAACGGAUCGGGUUCCCCACAGCGACCCCGUCACCCCGGGGUGGAUGGCGCGGGGCGCACCGCAGAGACCCCAGCCAGCAGAUGGGCUCCGAGUGCGAGGAGGUGCUCCAGGUCCUUAAGGAGAACGUGAAAGAAAGUUGUUGGGCCAACGCGAAUUUAUGUUUCCAUAAGCCGCCGGAAAAGGUGGUUAAAUCUCUGAUAACAUUUAACUUAUCAGUUAAAUCACGUGCGUCUAUUGAAAGCUCGUAUGUGAAGUCGGAUGCGCUGGUUUGGGAUGUGAUUUUCCACCCGGUGCAUCUCAUGACGUUAUUUCCCCCCAUCGGGGCAGCAGCAGAGCCUCGGGCGUCGUCGGACGCGGACGAUCCUCCCUCCUGGGGCGUCUGGGCUUCGCCACCGUUCGAGUCUCCGUGCGUUGCUGUCCAGCCGCAGACGCUCCGCUCAGCACGAAGCCGUGUCGUGUGUCCCGGCCGGUGGUCUGUCCAGGGAGGACCGUCGGGGCUUGCGGGGGACCCCCCCGUCCCGGGAACAGCAGCCCGGUUGGUCCCCUCCCCAUGAAGGGCUCGCGCACAGCCGUGUCCCCACAGCCCCGAGGCCUCGUGCCCAGAACAGUGAGGACGUCAGGUCGGUCUGCGUCCUGCUCUCCAGAACCUGCCCCCACCAGGAGACGGGUCCCAGGGAGGAGAUGGAAACCAGGUGCUUUAUCUGAACAGGUGCAUGUGGCCCAAGGUCAACAGGUGAGAGUUGAGUCCAAAGAGAGGCUUCGCGGGCACCCUGGUGCGCCCAGAGCCAGGCCUGUCCGCACCCUGCCAC
rnacentral:lncRNA from 12 species